rnacentral:lncRNA from 1 species
GAUCUCGUUUAUUGGAAGCAUGGCCCCAAAAAAGCAUGGAAUUUUUUUUUCACAGAAUUGAGAACCAAAAUAGGCACAUGAAUGGAGGCCAUGGUGUAGAGAGGAAUGGAAGCUAACAACGAGUGGAGAAGGGUGGUUCUACCAACAAAAGAGCGAACUUUCUAUUUUCAUCCAGCCAUUUUGCUCUUCAAUUUUCUUAUGAGAUAGCAAAAAUCAGACGGGGA